AAUAUUAUUAGAAAUUUUUCUGCUAUUUUUACAGAUUUUUUCAAGAUUUUGUUUAUGCAAGGUUAAUUUUUGUAUAGGAAAAAUAACGUUUUCACUUGUGUUGCUGAUUUUGGUGCUGAUGGCCGCUGGAAACGGUCGUGGUCGUGGCCGAGGUGGUGGUAGAGGUCGUCGAGGGACCUCUAAGAGGACACGUACAGCUAAAGAAGCGUCCGGAUCUGAUUCGGAU
rnacentral:lncRNA from 1 species